rnacentral:rRNA from 1 species
UACGUAGGGACCAAGCGUUGUUCGGAUUUACUGGGCGUAAAGGGCGCGUAGGCGGCGUGUUAAGUCACUUGUGAAAUCUCUGAGCUUAACUCAGAACGGUCAAGUGAUACUGAUGUGCUAGAGUGCAGAAGGGGCAACCGGAAUUCUUGGUGUAGCGGUGAAAUGCGUAGAUAUCGUAAGGAAGACCAGUGGCGAAGGCGGGUCUCUGGACAGUUCCUGACGCUGAGGCACGAAGGCCAGGGGAGCAAACAGG